AAACACUCGGCAGAAGUCACGACACAAUCGUAGUGGGUGCCGGCGAGGGAUCAACCGGCGGGACUUCUUCUGAAUGGAGGGGCAAAGGGCGUGUGUUCGUAGCCGUCGGCCUGGAAUCAAAAACACUGUGCGAGAGCGAGAUGAAGCGCGAGUGGUCCAUUCAAGAUGCUCGUACGUGUCAUGCAGCAGGCUAAAGACACUUUAAUGUAUACCAUAAAUGAAAUGAAUGUUUGAGGGUCCUCCUUCAAGAAGAGCUCGUGUUUACGGCGUCAAUCCCACGCAAACGCAACGGCGUGGAUCGGACCAAAACCCACACAGCCCGACUGAGAGAACGUACAGCUCAACUCAUUCAAGGUCCAGAACCUAUUCUAAAAGAUGCAAUCCGACCACAGCGUAGAGCCGCACAGACACACAGACACUGGCUGCCAGAUGACGCGGCACAAAAGG